AACGCACAUUGCGCCCGCCAGUAUUCUGGCGGGCAUGCCUGUCCGAGCGUCAUUUCAACCAUCAAGCCCCCGGGCUUGCGUUGGGGUCCUGCGGCUGCCCGCAGGCCCCGAAAGACAGUGGCGGGCUCGCGAACGCGACCGAGCGCAGUAGAAUCUCUCCGCUCUGGGCGCGCCGCGGGUGCCAGCCGUGAAACCCCCCCCCUUCUCAAGGUUGACCUCGGAUCAGGUAGGAAUACCCGCUGAACUUAA
rnacentral:misc_RNA from 1 species